GACGAACGCUGGCGGCGUGCUUAACACAUGCAAGUCGAACGAUGAAGCUGGAGCUUGCUCCGGUGGAUUAGUGGCGAACGGGUGAGUAACACGUGGGCAAUCUGCCCUUGACUCUGGGAUAACUGCGGGAAACUGUAGCUAAUACCGGAUACUUUCACUGGAAGGCAUCUUCUGGUGAAGAAAGAAUUUCGGUCAAGGAUGAGCGCGCGGCCUAUCAGCUUGUUGGUGAGGUAACGGCUCACCAAGGCGACGACGGGUAGCCGGCCUGAGAGGGUGACCGGCCACACUGGGACUGAGACACGGCCCAGACUCCUACGGGAGGCAGCAGUGGGGAAUAUUGCACAAUGGGCGCAAGCCUGAUGCAGCAACGCCGCGUGAGGGAUGAAGGCCUUCGGGUUGUAAACCUCUUUUAGCAGGGAAGAAGCGAAAGUGACGGUACCUGCAGAAAAAGCACCGGCUAACUACGUGCCAGCCGCCGCAGUAA
rnacentral:rRNA from 1 species